CGAACUCUGGUAUUGAUUGGUGCUUGCAUCAUGAUUUACAUUUGAGUGAGUGGCGAACUGGUGAGUAACACGUGGGAAACCUGCCCAGAAGCGGGGGAUAACACCUGGAAACAGAUGCUAAUACCGCAUAACAACUUGGACCGCAUGGUCCGAAGUUUGAAAGAUGGCUUCGGCUAUCACUUUUGGAUGGUCCCGCGGCGUAUUAGCUAGAUGGUGGGGUAACGGCUCACCAUGGCAAUGAUACGUUAGCCGACCUGAGAGGGUAAUCGGCCACAUUGGGACUGAGACACGGCCCAAACUCCUACGGGAGGCAGCAGUAGGGAAUCUUCCACAAUGGACCGAAAGUCUGAUGGAGCAACGCCGCGUGAGUGAAGAAGGGUUUCGGCUCGUAAAACUCUGUUGUUAAAGAAGAACAUAUCUGAGAGUAACUGUUCAGGUAUUGACGGUAUUUAACCAGAAAGCCACGGCUAACUACGUGCCAGCAGCCGCGGUAAUACGUAGGUGGCAAGCGUUGUCCGGAAUUUAUUGGGCGUAAAGCGAGCGCAGGCGGUUUUUUAAGUCUGAUGUGAAAGCCUUCGGCUCAACCGAAGAAAGUGCAUCGGAAACUGGGGAAACUUGAGUGCAGAAGAGGACAGUGGAAACUCCAUGUGUAGCGGUGAAAUGCGUAGAUAUAUGGAAAGAACACCAGUGGCCGA
rnacentral:rRNA from 2 species